AGAGUUUGAUCAUGGCUCAGAACGUACGCUGGCGGCACGCCUAACACAUGCAAGUCGAACGAAGUAGCAAUACUUAGUGGCAGACGGGUGAGUAACAUGUAGGUAUCUGCCCUUUGGCCUGGAAUAACACGAGGAAACUUGUGCUAAUACCGGAUAAGUCUUUACGGAGAAAGCUUUAUGCACCAUUGGAUGAGCCUGCACUUGAUUAGUUUGUUGGUGGGGUAAUGGCCUACCAAGACUUUGAUCAAUAGCUGAUUUGAGAGGAUGAUCAGCCACAUUGGGACUGAGACACGGCCCAAACUCCUACGGGAGGCAGCAGUGGGGAAUCUUGCACAAUGGAGGAAACUCUGAUGCAGCGAUGCCGCGUGAGUGAAGAAGGCCCUUGGGUUGUAAAGCUCUUUCGUCGGGGAAGAAAAUGACUGUACCCGAAUAAGAAGGUCCGGCUAACUUCGUGCCAGCAGCCGCGGUAAUACGAAGGGACCUAGCGUAGUUCGGAAUUACUGGGCUUAAAGAGUUCGUAGGUGGUUGAAAAAGUUGGUGGUGAAAUCCCAGAGCUUAACUCUGGAACUGCCAUCAAAACUUUUCAGCUAGAGUAUGAUAGAGGAAAGCAGAAUUUCUAGUGUAGAGGUGAAAUUCGUAGAUAUUAGAAAGAAUACCAAUUGCGAAGGCAGCUUUCUGGAUCAUUACUGACACUGAGGAACGAAAGCAUGGGUAGCGAAGAGGAUUAGAUACCCUCGUAGUCCAUGCCGUAAACGAUGUGUGUUAGACGUUGGAAAUUUAUUUUCAGUGUCGCAGCAAAAGCGAUAAACACACCGCCUGGGGAGUACGACCGCAAGGUUAAAACUCAAAUGAAUUGACGGGGACCCGCACAAGUAGUGGAGCAUGUGGUUUAAUUCGAAGAUACGCGCAGAACCUUACCAACACUUGACAUGUUCGUCGCGACUCUAAGAGAUUAGAGUUUUCGGUUCGGCCGGACGAAACACAGGUGCUGCAUGGCUGUCGUCAGCUCGUGUCGUGAGAUGUUGGGUUAAGUCCCGCAACGAGCGCAACCCUCACUUUUAGUUGCCAUCAUUUAGUUGGGCACUCUGAAAGAACUGCCAGUGAUAAGCUGGAGGAAGGUGGGGAUGACGUCAAGUCCUCAUGGCCCUUACGUGUUGGGCUACACACGUGCUACAAUGGUAUUUACAACAGGAAGCAAGACGGCGACGUCAAGCAAAUCCUUAAAAGAUACCUCAGUUCGGAUUGCACUCUGCAACUCGAGUGCAUGAAGCUGGAAUUACUAGUAAUCGUGGAUCAGCGUGCCACGGUGAAUGCGUUCCCGGGUCUUGUACACACCGCCCGUCACACCAUGGGAGUUGGUUCUACCUUAAGGCAAGGUUUCAAACCCUUGACCACGGUAUAGUCAGCGACUGGGGUGAAGUCGUAACAAGGUAUCCGUA
rnacentral:rRNA from 1 species